AUGUCUCAGGGUAAAAGACACACACACACACACACACACACACACACACACACACACACACACACACACACUAACACAGAGAGAGGGAGAGAGAGGGGGGUUCCUUUCAGCUGUGAAAAUGAAGCCUGCUUCCCAUGAGCUGGAAUUCUGAACUCUCAGAGGAGUUUGAUUUUACCUCAUGCAAAGACCCAGAAGUAAUGAUCAGAGAAGGACUGGAGCCAUGAUUGAAGGCUCAAAAGUUGUUGGCUUAGAUAUCCUUGGAGGCCCAAUUUUGCUGGUGGAGUUAUUCAGAGCUGCCUCCUCC
rnacentral:lncRNA from 1 species